AGCCCAUCCGCUCGCCGCGGAUGCAGGAACUCCGGUGCGAGCCCGGGGCGGUUCCGCCACUGUGAGUCUUCGGACGAGCCAGACACUGACCGCGGCGGCUCCCACCAC
rnacentral:ncRNA from 2 species